rnacentral:lncRNA from 1 species
AAAUUAAAUAACUAAUAACUAACAGUUACUAUAUCAAUUACAUUAACUAAAAUUGUUAUUUUUGUUAAAUUUUUUAAAUUACUUUAAUAUUUUUUCCUGAUUUUUUUUUUCAUAUAUACCUUUAUAAAUUAAUUUAAUUAUUAGUAAGUUUUUAUAAAAAAUUUACAUCACACGUAUACCAAUUUAAAUUACUUUUAUUUAAAUUAAUUUAAUAAAUAAUCAUGCUAAUAAAAUAAUAUAAAAUUAUAAAAAAAUAUUAACU